rnacentral:tRNA from 1 species
GUCUCUGUAGCUCAGUUGGCAGAGCAGUGCCCUCCUAAGGCAAAGGUCGCGGGUUCGACUCCCGCCAGGGAUG